GGGCGAUUAGCUCAAUUGGAUAGAGCGUUGGCCUCCGGAGCCGAAGGUUGCAGGUUCGAGCCCUGUAUCGCCCG
rnacentral:tRNA from 1 species